AUUCUAGAGGAGGUCGAUUCCCCGGAAUCUAAAUAAACAGGAAAUAAUUUUUUAUACAAAUUAAACAUAAAUUAAUCAAUAACAAUUGUUAAGUGAGCUUUCUGUUAUGCACCAUAGCGAUCUCUUGACUUUACCUCAUUCAUUUCUAUUCCAGGUGGAACAAUGGCCCGCGGCCUAUCCCGCGUGUUAGGAUCCACAGUUUGUAAUACACCCUAGAUACACAAGACAUAUUUUUUUAUAAAAAUUAAACAUAAAUUAAUCAAUAAAUAUUGUUUAGUGAGCUUGUUGAUGCAUGUGGCUUAGUAUUAUGGGAGUUAGCAAGUAGAUGUACAGCUCAACUAGGAGCUGUACCAGAAUAUAGGUUACCAUUUGAAGAAGAAUUUGGACAACAUCCGUCAUAUGAGAAAAUAGUAGAAUGUGUUGUGAUUAAACGAUUGAGACCAGCUUUUAAAGAUAACUAGAAGAAAUCACACCCAGGCUUAAGGGAUUUAUGUCAAACAAUCCAAAAAUGUUGGGCACAUAAUGCCGAAAAAAGAAUAUCGGCCGGGUCUUUAUAUGAACAAUGUAAUCAGUUACAAGUUAGUCGAAAUGAAGCCAAAUAGAGUCGUUGGUCGCUCAAUGCACAAAUAGAAUCAGAUGAGGAGACCGAUUCCGUGCCCCGUGCCUCCGGUAGUCGCUAGUAAAUUAUUUAGUGUGGUGCAGUCUUCACUCUCAAGUCACUAAAUAUACGUCUUGUUUAUGGUGCGACUACUACUCGAUCCUGUAUUGUAUUAUUUAAUAUGUUAAUGUUAUUUUUAAUA